rnacentral:rRNA from 1 species
GACGAACGCUGGCGGCGUGCUUAACACAUGCAAGUCGAGCGAGCGGCGAACGGGUGAGUAACGCGUAGUAACCUGCCCCCCUCUCUGGGAUAACAGUUGGAAACGGCUGCUAAUACCGGAUAGGAUGGACUCGCGUCCUCUCAGCUUGUUGGUGGGGUAGUGGCCUACCACGGCGACGAUCCGUAGCUGGUCUGAGAGGAUGAUCAGCCACACUGGAACUGAGACACGGUCCAGACUCCUACGGGAGGCAGCAGUGGGGAAUAUUGGACAAUGGGCGCAAGCCUGAUCCAGCCAUACCGCGUGGGUGAAGAAGGCCUUCGGGUUGUAAAGCCCUUUUGUUGGGAAAGCGGUACCCAAAGAAUAAGCACCGGCUAACUUCGUGCCAGCAGCCGCGGUAAUAC